AUUGAACGCUGGCGGCAGGCCUAACACAUGCAAGUCGAGCGGAUGAAGGGAGCUUGCUCCUGGAUUCAGCGGCGGACGGGUGAGUAAUGCCUAUGAAUCUGCCUGGUAGUGGGGGAUAACGUCCGGAAACGGGCGCUAAUACCGCCUAAUACCUGUGGGAGCAAGAUGGGGUUCUUCGGACCUCUCGCUUUCAGAUGAGCCUAGGUGGAGUUCGCUAGUUGGUAGGUAAAAGGCCUACCAAGGCGACGAGCCGUAACUGCUCUGCGGGGAUGACCAGUCACACGGGAAGUAGGACACGGUCAGGACUCCUACGGGAGGAAGCAGAGGGGAAUAUCGGACAAUGGGCGAAAGCCGGAGCCAGCCCUGCCGGGGGUGUGAAGAAGGUCUUCGGAUUGUAAAGCACUUUAAGUUGGGAGGAAGGGCAGUAAGUUAAUACCUUGCUGUUUUGACGUUACCAACAGAAUAAGCACCGGCUAACUACGUG
rnacentral:rRNA from 1 species